rnacentral:rRNA from 1 species
GGAAUAUUGCGCAAUGGGGGAAACCCUGACGCAGCCAUGCCGCGUGUGUGAAGAAGGCCUUCGGGUUGUAAAGCACUUUCACUUGGGAAGAAAAGCUUGUAGCUAAUACCUGCAAGCCAUGACAUUACCUUGAGAAGAAGCACCGGCUAACUCCGUCCCAGCAGCCGCGGUAAUACGGUGGGUGCAAGCGUUAAUCGGAAUUACUGGGCGUAAAGCGCGCGUAGGCGGUUUGUUAAGUCGGAUGUGAAAGCCCCGGGCUCAACCUGGGAAUUGCACCCGAUACUGGCCGACUGGAGUGCGAGAGAGGGAGGUAGAAUUCCACGUGUAGCGGUGAAAUGCGUAGAUAUGUGGAGGAAUACCGGUGGCGAAGGCGGCCUCCUGGCUCGACACUGACGCUGAGGUGCGAAAGCGUGGGGAGCA